rnacentral:rRNA from 1 species
GACGGAGGGGGCUAGCGUUGUUCGGAUUUACUGGGCGUAAAGGGCACGUAGGUGAACUAUUAAGUUAAAAGUGAAAUCUCAAAGCUUAACUUUGAUACUGCUUUUAAAACUAAUAGUUUUGAGUGUAAUAGAGGAUAAUGGAAUUCCUAGUGUAGAGGUGAAAUUCUUAGAUAUUAGGAGGAACACCGGAGGCGAAAGCG